GGCCAGUACCAGUCUCAGUCACAUGCAUCAUCACCUACAGUCAAAAGUGAGAUGGCAGUCCCCUCUAAUGAGUUGAGUCUAACGGCACCACUUCCCAUGGUUACUUCAGGGCCUAGUGCUACUACUGAAGUUGAUUUAGAUGAAUUAAACCAGAUGGGGAUCUCUAACAGUGGGCCUCCGGCAUCACAAUCUGAUCAUAAAGGCGGAAAUGGCAUUUCAGUGUCAUCUGAUGAUGGAUAUAACUGGAGAAAA
rnacentral:misc_RNA from 1 species